rnacentral:rRNA from 1 species
UGGGGAAUAUUGCACAAUGGGCGCAAGCCUGAUGCAGCCAUGCCGCGUGUAUGAAGAAGGCCUUCGGGUUGUAAAGUACUUUCAGUCGGGAGGAAGGUGGUAAGGUUAAUAACCUUAUCAAUUGACGUUACCGACAGAAGAAGCACCGGCUAACUCCGUGCCAGCAGCCGCGGUAAUACGGAGGGUGCAAGAGUUAAUCGGAAUUACUGGGCGUAAAGCGCACGCAGGCGGUUGAUUGAGUCAGAUGUGAAAUCCCCGGGCUUAACCCGGGAAUUGCAUCUGAUACUGGUCAGCUAGAGUCUUGUAGAGGGGGGUAGAAUUCCAUGUGUAGCGGUGAAAUGCGUAGAGAUGUGGAGGAAUACCGGUGGCGAAGGCGGCCCCCUGGACAAAGACUGACGCUCAGGUGCGAAAGCGUGGGGAGCAAACAGG